CCUACGGGGGACAGCAGUGGGGAAUAUUGCACAAUGGGGGGAACCCUGAUGCAGCAACGCCGCGUGGGUGAAGAAGUACUUCGGUAUGUAAAGCCCUGUCAGCAGGGAAGAAAAUGACGGUACCUGACCAAGAAGCCCCGGCUAACUACGUGUCAGCAGCCGCGGUAAUACGUAGGGGGCAAGCGUUAUCCGGAUUUACUGGGUGUAAAGGGAGCGUAGACGGCAAGGCAAGUCUGGAGUGAAAGCCCGUGGCUCAACCACGGGACUGCUUUGGAAACUGUGUUGCUGGAGUGCAGGAGGGGUAAGCGGAAUUCCUAGUGUAGCGGUGAAAUGCGUAGAUAUUAGGAGGAACACCGGUGGCGAAGGCGGCUUACUGGACUGUAACUGACGUUGAGGCACGAAAGCGUGGGUAUCAAACAGGAUUAGAUACCCGUGUAGUC
rnacentral:rRNA from 1 species